UCCAUGUUAAAUCAUUUUUUUUUACAAACUCCACGUUCAAUGUAGGGUGAACUUCAUGCUCAAUCUUUUUUUUCCUAACAAACUCCACGUUCAAUCUAUAAAAACAGUUCUCCACGUUCAAUCUAGGAAGAACUCCACGUUCAAUAUCUGCACGUACAAUUGUUUUUUUCUAACAGACUCCAUGUUUUCAAUCUAGGAAGAACUCCACGUUCAAUUUCUGGCCCGCAUGACAAAUAUUUUUUUCUAAUAAACUGCACGUUCAAUCUGUGGAAAACAUAUGAUAUUUUAAAGGUCCAACUGCCCCAAGCCUGUUUGGGCGGACAUCCAGGGACCGUACCUAUCCAUGGCGGCAGCAAAGACGGCAACCUGGUCUGGAGUCUGGACUGCUCCCGGCUGCGACGAAGGAAGUGUCGCCGCUCCGUUUCCUGGCCGUUGCUGCGUCCAGUCUUGAGGUAGAAGGAAGGGUCCGUGCGCUUGCUCCCGGCGUCUCAAAUAGCCUAUGUACUCUCCAAAUUUUCUCCUUCCAGUAAUCUCUUAUCCUAUUUUUUCGGUUGCAAUUGCUUCAUAUGUACGCGGCCUAUUUUGUGUCUGAUUAGUGACUAUAUGGUAGCUGCAUGUACGUGACCUAUUUUGCUUCUUCAGCGCGUGAUUGUAAAAGAGAUGCAGUGUCAGGGUGGUGCCGAUCAAUGAGGAUCUACAUGGUGAGACAUGUACCACAGACAUGUCCUGCAAGCUGCUAGAUCUGGGCAUAUCCGUCGACAAUGGUGAGAUGGAACUGGUGCUAUGGUCCUCUGUCCAGCAAACAAUGUAUAUUCUCUCUUCGCAUGUCCUUUGCUCUGCCAGUCUGAAUCUGAAUUAUCACUUUGUAUUUUGCAAUGUGCUGGAAGUGCUUGAUGAGUUUUUAAGUUGCCAAAACUCAAAUUCAUAUAGAAGAGUUGACAUAUCAUAGUACUUUUGCUGAAUUCGUAAAAAAACAUUUCCACUACAUAAUUUCUACAUAAGACAUAUAGUGCUUUCUAUUGGCAUGCUCGCCUUUCGUUGAUGACAUAAUUUCCUAUAAGCAAACUAAAUAACAUUUAUUUUCUGUUCAGAAUGGUUCCUCCAGCGGGUAAAUGUGUGUACUAUGUCCUGAACACAACAAAAUAAUACGAAUUUUGUAUGGAUUUCAAGCCACCAAUUUUUCUUAGUUGUCUUUCCAUUUCCACAUAGUGAUUAGCUACACUAUUUCUCGCCAAUUAGAAAGUACUGAACUAUUUCUUCUUCCACCGUUUCUUUACUUUCUACUAUAUAUAUGUAGUCAGUUGGUAAAAAAAUAAAAUAUACAUUUGUCACAUUGUCAAACUAUGGGUUUACUCCAGAACAUUUCCUUUCUCAUGUAUUAGGUUGGUAGGUAAAACCAUAACAGCUACAAUACAAUGAAGGUCUAUAAAAAGAAUAUAUCCGAAAUGCAUGGAUCUUAUUCUUUACUUUUUUUAGCAUGUGGAGUUACCAACUUCAUAUUCUAUGUGGAUAUAAGGAUGGAUUUAGUUGGGCCAGGCCCACUUUGGUGGGGAUUACGAUUACAAGGGGAUGCUUCAUCAAAGAUCACGGUUGUUGGUACAAAAUAUGAGGUGAAUAUUGGAAAUUUAUUCAGAUCAUUGUAACAGAAAUACAUCAUUUCUUUGCUAAUGAUUAUUUCCCAAAUUGGAGUAUAUGCAUAAUCACUAUUUUUGUCUUUGCACCAUUAGAGAUUUACAACCAUUUUAUUGGGGAUAAAAUGAAGUGAUAAACCUAUAUUAGUGGAAAAUAUUAUUUCCUUUGUGGAGAAGAGACAAGAUGGGGAAGACCAUUGGAGUCACUGAAUUUUUUACGAACUACUAGCUCUACUUUGAGGAAUGUAUCGCUUUUGUGAAAACUUCAUCUUACCUAUGAAAUAAUAUUAGUCUAGCUAUACAUGUAUUUCAGGUGGAAACCUGCACCUUUUAGGCCUGAUAUACACCUUUAUUGAUGCAAAUUCGAUCGAACUCAGAACAACUAAUUAAUCAUGUUCUCUGCAUGCGUGUCACUCAUUAUAUAUGUAUAUUAUACAUAUCUAAUGCAAUAUAAGAAUUCUUUAGAACCUACACAAGAACUUUGUUCAUGAAAGGACGAUGCUUCUUUCUCCUAUCUAUUAUAGGUUGAUCUUUUCACUUACAUAAAUUAAAUCUUCAAGCCCUAUGUCUCUGGCUUUCUACUGUUGUAUCCAUUUUGAGAAAAUAUGUGGAAACCCUAACGUUCAGACCUAUGACAAAUAGUUCAUGUACUUCUACUUUAGUAGUCAUGUUUCACUAACGGGGCACAAAUCUACACUCUCCCAAAUUGUGAUAAUAUGCUUUUUUCAAUUUAUACACCGUAA
rnacentral:lncRNA from 1 species